rnacentral:piRNA from 1 species
UUCACAGUGCUGGCAAGGAACUUUCUGUGAA